GGCCUGGUAGCAGAUGGUCUGCGCCUGCGUUUGAUUGAUGACAGAUACUUAGUCGUGAAAAUUAUACAGGUCAUGCUCGUUCAAAUCGAGCCUGGGCCA